rnacentral:rRNA from 1 species
AUUGAACGCUGGCGGCAUGCUUUACACAUGCGAGUCGAACGGCAGCGCGGGCUUCGGCCUGGCGGCGAGUGGCGAACGGGUGAGUAAUACAUCGGAACGUGCCCAGUAGUGGGGGAUAGCUCGGCGAAAGCCGGAUUAAUACCGCAUACGACCUGAGGGUGAAAGCGGGGGAUCUUCGGACCUCGCGCUAUUGGAGCGGCCGAUGGCAGAUUAGCUAGUUGGUGGGGUAAAGGCCUACCAAGGCGACGAUCUGUAGCUGGUCUGAGAGGACGACCAGCCACACUGGGACUGAGACACGGCCCAGACUCCUACGGGAGGCAGCAGUGGGGAAUUUUGGACAAUGGGCGAAAGCCUGAUCCAGCAAUGCCGCGUGUGUGAUGAAGGCCUUCGGGUUGUAAAGCACUUUUGCGGGAACGAAAAGGACUGUGCCAAUACCACGGUUCGAUGACGGUACCCGCAGAAUAAGCACCGGCUAACUACGUG